AUAUUUAUCUGGCAGGGGAGAUAUUAUGAUCAAUGAGGUGGUUCUUCCCUGGACGAGGCUGUCCCAUUGCACUUCGGGUAUGUUGAUGCCAGCGAUGUCCCCAAAUGCGGAAUCCUCGACUGCAAAGGUUGUGGUAGUGGGGGACUGCUUUUGCGCUCUCCCCCA